rnacentral:rRNA from 1 species
GACGAACGCUGGCGGCGUGCUUAACACAUGCAAGUCGAACGGUGAAGCUCCAGCUUGCUGGGGUGGAUCAGUGGCGAACGGGUGAGUAACACGUGAGCAACCUGCCCCUGACUCUGGAAUAAGCGCUGGAAACGGCGUCUAAUCCUGGAUACGAGAAGGGUCCGCAUGGGCACUUUCUGGAAAGUUUUUCGGUUGGGGAUGGGCUCGCGGCCUAUCAGCUCGUUGGUGAGGUGAUGGCUCACCAGGGCGACGACGGGUAGCCGGCCUGAGAGGGCGAGCGGCCACACUGGGACUGAGACACGGCGCAGACGCCUACGGGAGGCAGCAGUGGGGAAUAUUGCACAAUGGGCGAGAGCCGAAUGCAGCGACGCCGCGUGGGGGAUGACGGCCUUCGGGUUGUAAACCUCUUUCAGCAGGGAAGAAGCGAGAGUGACGGUACCUGCAGAAGAAGCACCGGCUAACUACGUG